CCGUAAAAUAAGAGGGUCCAGGCCUGCCCAGUGACAAAUGUUCAACGGCCGCGGUAUCCUAACCGUGCGAAGGUAGCGUAAUCACUUGUUCUUUAAAUGAGGACUAGUAUGAAUGGCACCACGAGGGUUGCACUGUCUCCUUUCCCUAAUCAAUGAAACUAAUCUCCCCGUGAAGAAGCGGGGGUACUAAUAUAAGACGAGAAGACCCUAUGGAGCUUUAAAUUUCUCUUCAAACGCCAGACACAAACAUCUGACACUUUACAUUAACCCGACGCCUUGAAGAUGAAUUUUAGGUUGGGGUGACCAUGGAGAACAAAAUAACCUCCACGCUGAAAAGGCCUCCAAGCCUUGAGCCGAGGGCUACAACCCAACGCACUAAAAAAUUAACACCCAUUGACCCAAUAUUUUUGAUCAACGAACCAAGUUACCCUAGGGAUAACAGCGCAAUCUACUUCAAGAGUCCCUAUCGACAAGUGGGUUUACGACCUCGAUGUUGGAUCAGGGUAUCCCAGUGGUGCAGCCGCUACUAAAGGUUCGUUUGUUCAACGAUUAAAACCCUACGUGAUCUGAGUUUCAAAACCGGA
rnacentral:rRNA from 1 species